rnacentral:misc_RNA from 1 species
CAUUCUCAAAGAACCUUUCUUUGGAAAGGCUUUUUGGACUUUGGAGGUUAUUGCUGGUCCCCCUUUGAUAGCCAGCUCCUCUUAAAUGGAUUAGUAGGGACCACUUUGCAGACCCUAGACGUGAUAAGAUGUUUCUGCGUCUUGGGUAUUUGCUCUGUCGUUUGGAGACCUGCUUCUAACCGUCUUGUUAAAAGACAGCAUUCGAGCCUUUCUCGUAAAGGCUUGACUCAUGAA